UACAGAGGUGGCAAGCGUUGUUCGGAAUUACUGGGCGUAAAGGGCGCGUAGGCGGCUGUUCAAGUCGGGGGUGAAAGCCUGUGGCUCAACCACAGAAUUGCCUUCGAUACUGGACGGCUGGAGACCGGAAGAGGUCAGUGGAACUGCGAGUGUAGAGGUGAAAUUCGUAGAUAUUCGCAAGAACACCAGUGGCGAAGGCGGCUGACUGGUCCGGUUCUGACGCUGAGGCGCGAAAGCGUGGGGAGCAAACAGG
rnacentral:rRNA from 1 species